rnacentral:rRNA from 1 species
GGACUACUAGGGUUUCUAAUCCUGUUUGAUCCCCACGCUUUCGUGCCUCAGUGUCAGUUACAGUUUAGCAAGCUGCCUUCGCAAUCGGUGUUCUGUGUCAUAUCUAUGCAUUUCACCGCUACAUGACACAUUCCGCCUACCUCAACUGUACUCAAGACUGCCAGUAUCAAUGGCAAUUUCCGGGUUGAGCCCGGAUCUUUCACCACUGACUUAACAAUCCACCUACGCACCCUUUAAACCCAGUAAAUCCGGAUAACGCUCGCACCCUCCGUAUUACCGCGGCUGCUGGCAC